GGGGAUGUACCGGUUUCGACAGGGACCGUGCAGCCGGUGAAGCUAUCCGCAUGCGGUGCGUUAAACGGCAAACUUAAAUACAAACGCUAACGAAAAUUUAGCAUACGCAGCCUAAGGGCUUGCCGUCCGACCUGAAGCACUCACACUCUGGGACCCGGGCGUCGACAUUGUGAGAAACGACUUGCGUUAAGCUUUGCGCGCAAGGGCGUAACAUGAAGCUACCAAAACCGCGAGGGCGUCUGCUCCCGCGCGGCAGAGGGAAUGUCAAACAGCCGACUAUGAUAGUAGAAGAACGGGGAAUCGGUUUUUGGACACGGGUUCGACUCCCGUCAUCUCCAGCG
rfam:Lachnospiraceae bacterium ACC2 genomic scaffold supercont1.4, whole genome shotgun sequence.